CUUCUUUGAUUCUCUUCUUCUUCUCCGAUCUGUUUUGUUCGUCGCCGGAUCUCUUCUUCUCCGAUCUGAUACCGUCACCGCAUCUCUUCUUCUUCUCUAAUCUGUUAUACUCAUCGCCGCCUCUCUUCUUCUUCGAUCUGAUUACGUCGCCGCCUUUCUUCGCCGCCUCUCUUCUUCUCCGAUCUGUAUUCAAACACCGCCGCGUCUCUUCUUCUCUGACUCGAACUGUUUUGCCUCUAAGGGUAACGUCUGCUUCUCCGAUUUAAGUUCUUCUCUCAAAUCUAACUUCUUCUUCUUCUCCGAUCUUACUUCUUUUUUCCAGAUCUAACCUUUUGUAGUUUACGGUUCUAACUUUGGGUUUGUUUUUUGUGCAAGAUGCCGUCGGAUAAUACUUAUAUACGGUUUAGGCAACAGCAGCGUGACCCGUUGCAUGUCAAUUCUCCUGUUAGUGCUGGGAAUAUCUCAGGGGUUCAAGGUUCAGGUUCACGCCAUCCACCAUCGCCUCCAACGCCAACCACUCAGCCUUCUGUCAAUCAUUCUGAUGCUCAAGCUGAGCGUCUCAACAAUCUGACACUGGAUGAGCUCCUUGAUAGUCCCGGUCGUGCUGGCUUGACAAGACUAGACCCAAAGCGACCUCUGGCAACUCUCUGGUAAGGUUAAAUUCAUAGUUCGUGUAGAACAGUCUUGUAAAAUGGAAUUAGGUUGGUUCUGCCUUAGAAGUUU
rnacentral:sRNA from 1 species